rnacentral:rRNA from 1 species
AUGAACGCUGGCGGCGUGCCUAACACAUGCAAGUCGAGCGAGAAAUCUUGGAAUGAGACUUCGGUUAAGUGAAGAGAUGGAAAGUGGCGGACGGGUGAGUAACGCGUAGGCAACCUGCCUUAUGCAGAGGGAUAGCCAUUGGAAACGAUGAUUAAAACCUCAUAAUGCCAUUUUAUCACAUGGUGAGAUGGUCAAAGAUUUAUCGGCAUAAGAUGGGCCUGCGUCUGAUUAGCUAGUUGGUGGGGUAACGGCCUACCAAGGCGACGAUCAGUAGCCGACCUGAGAGGGUGAUCGGCCACAUUGGAACUGAGACACGGUCCAAACUCCUACGGGAGGCAGCAGUGGGGAAUAUUGCACAAUGGGCGAAAGCCUGAUGCAGCAACGCCGCGUGAGCGAAGAAGGUCUUCGGAUCGUAAAGCUCUGUCCUUGGGGAAGAUAAUGACGGUACCCUUGGAGGAAGCCCCGGCUAACUACGUGCCAGCAGCCGCGGUAAUACGUAGGGGGCAAGCGUUAUCCGGAAUUAUUGGGCGUAAAGAGUGCGUAGGUGGUUACCUAAGCAGGGGGUGAAAGGCACUGGCUUAACCAAUGUCAGCCCCCUGAACUGGGUACCUUGAGUGCAGGAGAGGAAAGCGGAAUUCCUAGUGUAGCGGUGAAAUGCGUAGAUAUUAGGAGGAACACCAGUGGCGAAGGCGGCUUUCUGGACUGUUACUGACACUGAGGCACGAAAGUGUGGGGAGCAAACAGGAUUAGAUACCCUGGUAGUCCACGCCGUAAACGAUGAGUGCUAAGUGUUAGAGGGUUUCCGCCCUUUAGUGCUGCAGCUAACGCAUUAAGCACUCCGCCUGGGGAGUACGGCCGCAAGGCUGAAACUCAAAGGAAUUGACGGGGGCCCGCACAAGCGGUGGAGCAUGUGGUUUAAUUCGAAGAUACACGAAGAACCUUACCUAGGCUUGACAUUGAGAGAAUCCGCUAGAAAUAGUGGAGUGUCUGGCUUGCCAGACCUUGAAAACAGGUGCUGCACGGCUGUCGUCAGCUCGUGUCGUGAGAUGUUGGGUUAAGUCCCGCAACGAGCGCAACCCUUGCUGUUAGUUGCCAUCAUUAAGUUGGGCACUCUAACGGGACUGCCGGGGAUAACUCGGAGGAAGGUGGGGAUGACGUCAAAUCAUCAUGCCCCUUAUGUUCUGGGCUACACACGUGCUACAAUGGUCGGUACAAAGAGCAGCAAGACCGUGAGGUGGAGCAAAUCUCAAAAACCGAUCCCAGUUCGGAUUGCAGGCUGCAACUCGCCUGCAUGAAGUUGGAGUUGCUAGUAAUCGCGAAUCAGAAUGUCGCGGUGAAUGCGUUCCCGGGUCUUGUACACACCGCCCGUCACACCACGGAAGUUGGGGGUGCCCAAAGUUGGUCAAAAAAUAGAUUACCUAAGGCAAAACCGAUGACUGGGGUG